CAAUAUUUGGGAAAAUAUGUAGUGCAAACCACAUAUGUAGUGAAAACAUGAAAACUACUGUUGAAUCGAGAAAUGGACGUCCGAGAUUCGUCCACGUCACCCUGAGUUAAAAUUUAACUAGGAGUUUUAACUCAGGGUGACGUGGACGAAUCUCGAACAUUCAUUUCUCGAUCCAACGGUAGUUUCCAAGUUUUCACUAUAUAUGUGGUUUGCACUAGAUAUUUUCCCUC
rnacentral:misc_RNA from 1 species